UCCCCGCCCCAACCGCGGUGGGGGCUGGCGGAGAGGAGUUUUGCUGCUUCUGUCCCUCACCCUCGGGAGGCGUCAAAGAACAGGAAAAGCCCAGGCAGGAGGUGUUUGCUGUGUAGAUGGAACAAGCUGUUUUUGACGAUAUGCUGGACGGAGAUUAUUUUCAUCUGCAGGGAGCUCAAUGGAAACUGGAAGCUGUGUUGCCCCCGCAACAGAGGUGUUGAUUAUCUAGCCCACCUACACCGGGAUGGCAGCUGAUGUUGGUCACAUGUUGUCAGCCUCCAAGUGAAAAACUCCACUUGGACCUCUUGUGAGCUGCAGACCGUUCAGCAGUUUUGAAUACUGUCACAGUCACUUGCAGCUUGCUCAGAUUCCUUGUGUCCUGGGGCAAGAUCAGCUGCUGUUCACACUAUGAACUGGAGUGGGGCAGCUCAGAGAUGCACGUAACCAGUAUUGGAACAAGGACAGUGCUCUGUAUCUGUCAGUUUUUGAAUGAUCUGGACGCUGGGGAGACAGCUAGGAAAGAAGCAGGAAGAUAUAUGCAAAUGCUCUUAUCAGAUGCUGUGCGAAAAAGAGCAACAGUGUGAUGUGACUUGUGUGCAAGGUUGGGAAUGAAAAGAAUGAAGCAGAGCUAAUUUCAGUAAUCUGCUCUGAGUAACACAUUUAUUCAGCUGUUUCAGAUGGUAGUUGUUUUUCCAUGCAUUAGCAUUUUGGUCACUGUAGUAAAAGAACAUGUUGUAUAUGUAGGUGGAGGCAUGAGUGCUCUUAAAUUGUUGACACAGGAGCACAAUACUAAUUUUUACUGGAGUUGUUAUUACAUGCAAUAUCACCCAGAGGAUCUGAAUUUUAUCAGGUUCCUGUUUUGCGAGGUGCUACUUAUAAUGCGAGGUCUUUGUCUUCAUCUUGAGAUAUAACUAAACAAUACAACCAAAUGGCUGUUGCAUCAUCUUUAUCUACAAGGCAGGGAUGGAAGAAUUAAAAACUAUUCCUAAAGAAAUAUGGGCACCUGGAAAUUGAAAACCAUUUUUAUAUUUUGGCUGCUAAUUUUGAGGUGUACGAGAUGGCUAUUGAAGGACACGGUAGAGGAGCAUUUCAAAACAGUCUUUCUUUGUAGUGUUAAUGGAAAGUCUUUAUUGGUGGUAUUUUCCACCAAUUGAAGCAUCUUUCGAAUUAAAACUAAAAUUUUGUGAAAUAAGAGCCCUGAAGAAACCCUGCAAAAUUAAAGUUAUUAGCUUCCUUAAAAUAUCCUUAUUUCUUACUUUUCCUAUUAGAUUUAUUAAAGUUGUAGAACACAGGGCAGAAGGGACCUGAGGAGGACAUCUACUACAUUUCCUGCUGUGAAGUAGGCUUAGCUAUAUGUAAAACACCACAGAUGUCUAUCUAACCUGCUUUUACUAUGUUAUUUACUGCAUGAUGGGAGACUAUUUCUAUAUAAUACUGCUUUUCCACAAACUUAGGAUGCAGACAUGGAAGAUCUUCUAUUAUACUAGAUACUCAUUUGCAUAAUGCCAGAUUAAUGCAUCCAGACCAGUCACCUUAAGAAAAUGACAGAAUAAACUAAUACGUAAGUUGGAAGAAAACCAAAGUGUACAUGCAUAUUCAUUUUGGGUUGGCUCUGGAACUCUUCUUUGGCAGUCACAAAGCUGGCUGGCUUGUUUCCUCAAGAAAGGAAAGUCUCAGAUGGCCUCUAGUUGCCAGAACAGCUCGUAAGUGAUCUCUGUGUAAGACGAGCAGGUCUAACAUAGUUCCAGAUGUCCAGCAGGAACUGCUGUUGAGAGCUUCUGUAUGAACAGAGUCAUUUUUCACUAAACUCAUAUUACUCUUUUUUUCCAUAAGGAAUCAGACUCAUUAACUUUUUUACAGGCACAUUUUUUAUAAUAAUUUGUCAUGGGUGAACCAGGUCAGGAAAGGUACAGUUCAACCUGUUCCUGGCUCAAAAUAAAUGCAACCGGUCCUGGAAUAUAAAUAACUGCCUUGUUUCUUACAAUUUUCAGUUUCUAUGAAUCUUUCUCUUUUUUGAGUUUUGUUGUUAGCAUAGACACGGGUGGGUGUUAUACAUCACAAGUUUAUGUUCUAGGCAUUUCCAGUAAAGUUUAGGGACAUAAGAAGAGAAAAAUGUCUAUCCUGGAUCAGACCAAAGAUCUAGCUAGCCUACUAUGCCAUCGUAGUGGCCAGUACUGGAUGCCCAGCACAAAACCAGCACAAACAUAGAAUGAUUCUCCCUUAGGAUAGUUCUGCAGCUUCCAGCAAUGUGCAGCUCAGGGAUAUGUUUAGUUAGAGGCAGCACCUUUGUGUUUAAUUGUCUUUAAUGAUUUUCCCCCCAUGAUUUUGAAUAAUGUCUUUUGGAAUCCAUAAGCUUUGGCUUUGGAAUCCGUAAGCUUUGGCCCUGCUCUAAUCCUUUGUAAUAGGCUACACAGCUUAAUUAUGAGCUGUGAAGAUGUAUUUCCUUUUGGCUUUUUGGAACAUUCUAGAUGAUAAUUUCACCUGAUGUCAUCUUUUUUUGGUAUUACCAAAAAGAAAAACAAAAAAAAAGAAUAAGAAUUUCCUGUUCAUCCUCUCUGUGCUACAGAUUUUACCAUUCACAGUUAUAUUCCUCUGCAAUUGCUCUUCCAGGCUGAAGAAGACCUAACCUUUUAAUCAUCUUUACAACUUUAAUUUUUCUAGCUCAACUCUAUCUUUGGAAAUAGAGCUGCACCAGAACUACAUGCAGUGUUUAAGAUGCUGAGACACCUUGGAUUUAUACAGUGACAUGCUCAUUAUUUCCUGUUUGGUUCUCUGUUCUGCACCUAAUAAUUUCUAACGUUCAGUUAGCUUUUUUGUCUGUUGCUUACGUGACAUUUUGGAGUUAAACACUGAUGCAGAGGAUGCUUAUGCUUUCUGCAAGAAUUUUGAAGAUAGACACAUUUCAGUUAUUAUCACAGAAUGAAUCCUUGAUAGUGACAUUGUGACACAGGCCGAAAACGCAUAGAAGAAAGUCGAAACCUGAUUCUCCCCUUUGAGUUCCCUGACUAGCUUAUCCAUGAAACAGUCGUUCAAAGGGUCUAAAAAUACCCCAGUAUGACAUUUAAAUCUACAUGAGAAUAAUUAAAUUCUCUUAUUAUUAUGGUGUUUCCAGUCCUGGCAGACUCUGAAUCUGAUUUUUACUACCUUGUCACAAUUGUUAUCCAUCAUUAUCUUGUCCCUGAUUGGCAGCAAUGUGUAUACUUUGCCGUAGGAGUUGAUUACUAGGUAUCAACUUUUUUUAAAAAAGCUAAUUUUAAAACCUGACAUUUCUGUAUGUGAUUUGAUAUUUGUAAUUGGACAUCCAACCAUGGCUGUAGUUUUGGUGGUCUCACAAGGUGUCUCAUGAUGCAAUGUGAUAUAUUUCAGAUUGAACUGCGAAAGUCAAACGUACAAACACAUCACCUUCAUCUGUGAAAAAAAGAGGAAUGAGUCAAAAGGAAGUAAAACAAAAUAUUCAAGAGAAGAACAGUUCUUACCAGUAGAGAGUGAAUUUUGAAAGAAAUCCGAAUCAUGCUAGCUCAUUUCAAUUGUUUCGAAAUUGUCACCAGCUUGUAGCUUAGCAUAUACAUUUUAAUGAUAUAAAAACUACUCAAUAUAAAGCUAGUCUCCAUUGUUUCUUGACUGAAAAUAUUUUACUGAGCAAACACCUGGUAAUGAUAACUCAUCUGAUUGUAUUUAAUAAUAAUAACAUGCUUGUUUACAUUUCUUUGUUCCAAAUAUUGCCAGGUGUUUUACACAUAUAAACAUGCAUGAACUAAGCUUGAUAGCAUUACCAAAACCAGAAUAACUGGCAGCUAGUUCCCUACCUAGGGCCAUCUGCAAAAUGAAAUAAAACUUCAGGGAUUUUUCUACUAACAUGCUCUAACUGUGCCUUGAUCGAUACGCUCAAGC